AUUGAACGCUGGCGGCAGGCCUAACACAUGCAAGUCGAACGAGUGGCGGACGGGUGUGUCAUGUCUGGGAAACUGCCUUAUGGCUGGGGCUAACUCCUGAAAACGGUAGCUAUUACCGCAUACCAUCAGCUUUUCCAAGAUGGGAUUCGCGUGUUGGUGGGGUAACGGCUCACCAAGGCGACGAUCCCUAGCUGGUCUGAGAGGAUGACCAGCCAAACUGGAACUGAGACACGGUCCAGACGCCGACGGGAGGCAGCAGUGGGGAAUAUUGCACAAUGGGCGCAAGCCGGAUGCAGCCAUGCCGCGUGUAUGAAGAAGGCCUUCGGGUUGUAAAGUACUUUCAGCGGGGAGGCGUUACCCGCAGAAGAAGCACCGGCUAACUCCGUGCCAGCAGCCGCGGUAAUAC
rnacentral:rRNA from 1 species